rnacentral:rRNA from 1 species
CCUACGUGAGGCAGCAGUGAGGAAUAUUGGUCAAUGGGCGCGAGCCUGAACCAGCCAAGUAGCGUGAAGGAUGACUGCGCUACGGGUUGUAAACUUCUUUUGUAAAGGAAUAAAAUGAGGCACGUGAGCCUUAUUGUAGGUACUUGAAGAAUAAGGAUCGGCUAAGUCCGUGCCAGCAGCCGCGGUAAUGCGGAGGAUCCGAGCGUUAUCCGGAUUUAUUGGGUGUAAAGGGAGAGUAGAUGGGGUGUUAAGUCAGUUGUGAAAGGUUGCGGCUUAACCGUAGAAGUGCAAUUGAUACUGGCAGUCUUGAGUACAGUUGAGGUAGGCGGAAUUCGUGGUGUAGCGGUGAAAUGCUUAGAUAUUACGAAGAACUCCGAUUGCGAAGGCAGAUUACUAAACGGCCACUGACAUUGAUGCUCGAAAGUGUGGGUAUCAAACAGGAUUAGAUACCCGAGUAGUC